AUAUAUUUUAAAUUUAUUUUUAAUGGAUUUUAGUAAAAUAUUUAAUAGUAAAAUAUAAAAUUUUCCUUGGCUAUUCUGUUCGUAAUGUAGACAUAAUGUCUAACUUACUUAACGAAGUGCACCAACUAGAAGAAUUAAUAUAUGAUGUACAACAGCAGCAGAGGAGGAGGAUGAAAUAGAUAAUUGUUUUACAAGUUCCAAAGGCGCAUUUAAAGUCAAAAGUAAUGUUUAUGAGUUACCAAAUUUUCCGUUGCCUCCACCAGUUUUGCAAUCCAUACCAACAAAAUCAUUAAAGAGAUCAUUUGAUUUUAAUUUGUCACCUGGAUUAAUUAUUUUAAAAUAAUCAAAUAUUUGUUCUGCUUUGCCUGACUCUUUACCUUUACACACAGAGGAACAAUCAACUUCGUAUUCUGAGUCACUGUCUUUGCCUAACUUCUUUUUACCUUCAAAAUCAACUGAAAAGGAACAAUCAAAAUUUUUUUACAGAUUUUUUCAUAAUGGAUAGUAUGGAAGGAAAGGGGUGUGCAGUUAUAGCAUUAUUAGACGGGAAGAGAAAACCGUAUCAGAUAUAUAUCAGUAUCACUAGAUCUUAAUCCAUUGGAUUAUGCAAUCUGGUCUAAACUGGAGGCGAAGGUGUGCUGCAAACCUCACACUUCCGUUGAUGCCCUCAAGCCAUCACUUCUCAGAGAAUGGGAUGCUUUAUCCAUGGAUACCGUGCGUAAAUCAAUUGAGGAAUGGCGUCCAAGACUGGAGGCGUGCAUACGGGCAAAAGGGGGUUAUUUCGAGGACUCUCUUUAUUAAUGUGUACUUUAGCAUUUUAACUAAAAUAUAA